CAAACGAAGAGAAUUCAUUAAAAAACAUUUUAAAUUUUAUUUUAUUAAUAUAAAAAUCACUUAAAAAUAUUCGUUCGGUAUACCAGGUCAUUUACCCACAAAUUAUUGCAAAAGUACUUUGUCGACAGAACGAUGGUUUGGAAAAAACCGGAAAUUCUGCUGACAAAGAAAAUUAACACUAGGGUACGACGAACGAAAUUUGGCAGAGUUACGACCGGGUCUCGGCAAGAAGAGGUAACCGAAAGCAGUGCGGAAAAGCUUUGUGAAAUGUUUGCUCCAAGAAUAAUAAUAAUGUAAGUACAACAUUUUAUCAUAUCGAAGAAGAUCACAAUUAUUGUCACUUUAUUAAGUUACGUAACAUUACUUUCACUUUAAUUAUAGAAUUCGCUACAUAUUCCCAUGUACUUAAAUUAUUAAUCCUGUUAUGUAGAUCUUAGUUUAUCUCUUGUCAAAUUAGCUCUUUUAUUUGGGUAACUCUACUUAAAUCGUUAUAAUUAUAUUUUGCUGUCAAUACAAGGUAUUUAGUAAACUA